GCUCGCCUCGGCAGCACAUACUAAAAUUGGAAUGAUACAGAGAAGAUUAGCAUGGCUUCUGCACAAGGAUGACACGCAAAUUCAAGAAGCAUUCCAUUUUUUA